AGCGAACGCUGGCGGCAUGCUUAACACAUGCAAGUCGCACGAAGGUUUCGGCCUUAGUGGCGGACGGGUGAGUAACGCGUAGGAAUCUAUCCAUGGGUGGGGGAUAACACUGGGAAACUGGUGCUAAUACCGCAUGAUACCUGAGGGUCAAAGGCGCAAGUCGCCUGUGGAGGAGCCUGCGUUCGAUUAGCUAGUUGGUGGGGUAAAGGCCUACCAAGGCGAUGAUCGAUAGCUGGUUUGAGAGGAUGAUCAGCCACACUGGGACUGAGACACGGCCCAGGCUCCUACGGGAGGCAGCAGUGGGGAAUAUUGGAAAAUGGGGGCAACCCUGAUCCAGCAAUGCCGCGUGUGUGAAGAAGGUCUUCGGAUUGUAAAGCACUUUCGACGGGGACGAUGAUGACGGUACCCGUAGAAGAAGCCCCGGCUAACUUCGUGCCAGCCGCCGCGGUAA
rnacentral:rRNA from 1 species